rnacentral:rRNA from 1 species
UACAGAGGGUGCGAGCGUUAAUCGGAGUUACUGGGCGUAAAGGGCGCGUAGGCGGCCACCGCAGGUCGGUUGUGAAAUCUCUGGGCUUAACCCAGAAAGGUCAACCGAUACUGCGGGGCUAGAGUGCAGAAGGGGCAACUGGAAUUCUCGGUGUAGCGGUGAAAUGCGUAGAUAUCGAGAGGAACACCUGCGGCGAAGGCGGGUUGCUGGGCUGACACUGACGCUGAAGCGCGAAAGCGAGGGGAGCGAACGGG